UGAGGAAUAUUGGGCAAUGGACGGCAGUCUGACCCAGCAACGCCGCGUGGAGGAUGAAGGUUUUUGGAUUGUAAACUCCUUUUGCAGGGGAAGAGCGCGGACGGUACCCUGAGAAUCAGUCACGGCUAACUACGUGCCAGCAGCCGCGGUAAUACGUAGGUGACGAGCGUUAUCCGGAAUUAUUGGGCGUAAAGCGCCCGCAGGCGGCUUAUCAAGUCUGACGUGAAAUCGCUCAGCUUAACUGGGCGCGGUCGUUGGAAACUGAUGGGCUUGAGGCAAGGAGAGGGGUGUGGAAUUCCCGGUGUAGUGGUGGAAUGCGUAGAGAUCGGGAGGAACAUCAGUGGCGCAAGCGGCACCCUGGCCUUGGCCUGACGCUCAGGGGCGAAAGCGUGGGGAGCGAACGG
rnacentral:rRNA from 1 species